CAGCCGCCGCGGUAAUACGGAGGGUGCAAGCGUUAAUCGGAAUUACUGGGCGUAAAGCGUGCGUAGGCGGUUCGUUAAGUCUGUUGUGAAAGCCCCGGGCUCAACCUGGGAACGGCAAUGGAUACUGGCGAGCUAGAGUGUGUCAGAGGAUGGUGGAAUUCCCGGUGUAGCGGUGAAAUGCGUAGAGAUCGGAAGGAACAUCUGUGGCGAAGGCGACUAUCUGGGCCAACACCGACACUGAGGCACGAAAGCGUGGGGAGCAAACAGGAUUAGAGACCCGCGUAGUCCCUGUCUUUAUACA
rnacentral:rRNA from 1 species